CAGUCGCCGCGGUAAAACGUAGGUGGCAAGCGUUGUCCGGAAUUAUUGGGCGUAAAGGGCUCGCAGGCGGUUUCUUAAGUCUGAUGUGAAAGCCCCCGGCUCAACCGGGGAGGGUCAUUGGAAACUGGGAAACUUGAGUGCAGAAGAGGAGAGUGGAAUUCCACGUGUAGCGGUGAAAUGCGUAGAGAUGUGGAGGAACACCAGUGGCGAAGGCGACUCUCUGGUCUGUAACUGACGCUGAGGAGCGCAAGCGUGGGGAGCGAACAGGAUUAGAUACCCGCGUAGUCCCUGUCUCUUAUAC
rnacentral:rRNA from 1 species